AUAGCAAAUCGUUCUAUCGCUGCUCCGCUUCGGCGGGGCAGAGGAAAGUCCGGGCAACACAGAGCAUCCUGCUUCCUAACGGGAAGGCGCCGUCAGCCGGCGACAGCAAGUGCCACAGAGAAUAUACCGCCCUCAAUUUAUUGGGGGUAAGGGUGAAAACGUGAGGUAAGAGCUCACGGCUUUUCCGGGCGACCGGGAUCGCGGUAAACCUCAGGAGUUGAAAGACCAAAUAGGUGCCGGAAGCGGGGCGGCUCGUCUCCUUUUCGCAAGAAAUGCCGGCAUGGGUAGGUCGUUUAAGAUGUGCAGCAAUGUACAUAACAGAUUAAUGAUAGAAGUUGCCGAAAGGCAAAACAGAACCCGGCUUACAGCUUUGCUGCUGAU
rnacentral:RNase_P_RNA from 1 species